rnacentral:rRNA from 1 species
GAUGAACGCUGGCGGCGUGCCUAAUACAUGCAAGUCGGGCGAACGGACGAGAAGCUUGCUUCUCUGAUGUUAGCGGCGGACGGGUGAGUAACACGUGGAUAACCUACCUAUAAGACUGGGAUAACUUCGGGAAACCGGAGCUAAUACCGGAUAAUAUUUUGAACCGCAUGGUUCAAAAGUGAAAGACGGUCUUGCUGUCACUUAUAGAUGGAUCCGCGCUGCAUUAGCUAGUUGGUAAGGUAACGGCUUACCAAGGCAACGAUGCAUAGCCGACCUGAGAGGGUGAUCGGCCACACUGGAGCUGAGACACGGUCCAGACUCCUACGGGAGGCAGCAGUAGGGAAUCUUCCGCAAUGGGCGAAAGCCUGACGGAGCAACGCCGCGUGAGUGAUGAAGGUCUUCGGAUCGUAAAACUCUGUUAUUAGGGAAGAACAUAUGUGUAAGUAACUGUGCACAUCUUGACGGUACCUAAUCAGAAAGCCACGGCUAACUACGUG